GCCGAAGUGGCGGAAUUGGCAGACGCACGCGACUCAAAAUCGCGCGGGUAACACCUUGUGGGUUCGAGUCCCACCUUCGGCA
rnacentral:tRNA from 1 species